rnacentral:tRNA from 1 species
GCGGGUGUGGCGGAAUUGGUAGACGCGCUAGACUUAGGAUCUAGUGGAUUGCUCCGUGGGGGUUCGAGUCCCUUCACCCGCACCA